rnacentral:rRNA from 1 species
UCAAGAUGAGAUUUCCCAACUUCGGUUAUAAGAUCCCUCAAAGAUGAUGAGGUUAAUAGGUUCGAGGUGGAACCAUGGUGACAUGUGGAGCUGACGAAUACUAAUCGAUCGAAGACUUAAUCAA